rnacentral:lncRNA from 1 species
CUGCUUAUGAGGGCCAAGACAUCUCCAGAUGACUACAGAAAUACUACCUUAAUAAUAAGAAAAAACUUGUUUCAUUAAGGUAAGUUAUUCCUUUGAAUUACUUGAGUUUUUUCUCAUUGUGCAACCUUUCUGUGCACUACAGAUUAAAUAUUAAAUUGUAAUUUUCUAUUA